CACUCAUCAAGAGCGGCGGAGGGACUGGCCCGAUGAUGCCCGGCAACCGGUAGUCGGUGGGAGCUCUUUAAUGGAGCUUCGGACUACGAGGUGCUAAUUCCUGCAGAACAUGAGUUCUGAGAGAUGAGAG
rfam:Peptococcaceae bacterium CEB3 CEB3_contig000058, whole genome shotgun sequence.